rnacentral:lncRNA from 10 species
GUUAGCAAAGCAGUUGCUGCUACAGAUUGAAUGCAUCUGGGCCAUCCGUGGGUUACUGGCUUAAGGAUUUUUGAUAGGAAGACUACGGGUUGUCAGUGGCCUCCAUGCUUUUGGUUUCUCUAGGUUCAAAAGAAAGAGGAGUGAAGAGGAGUAAAACACACAUCUAUUAAAAAGCAAGAAGAUUAAAUAAAUUGAAGCUUUUUAUUUCUCUUUCUCUGCCUAAGGACCCAGUGGCUGUCUUGAUGUCUCACAGCAGGAAGAGACUCUCUCAAAUAGGUGUACACAUGGGGAGAGAGAGAGCAAGGAGACUGAGAUACAAUCAGCCACCAGCAAGUUGUCUUGAUUUUCUGAAUGGAGCGUGGUAGCAUGUUAUAGAGUCCAAGGAAUUUGCCAAAUCCGUGUGAGAAGAUUUGCCUCUCACAUGUGAGAGAAUUUUUUGAGAAAAAAAAGAUCCUGACCCCGUCCCUCUGCCACCACCCGAGUGAGGAAGACUGACAGAGCACAUUGGCUUGCUGUGGAGACAAGAUCAGGGAAAGCGCCCCUGAAAAGAAAGCAUUUUGGAAGUCCUGAAGGUGGAGAAGGAGAUUUAGAGGAAGAGUGAUAAAUCAGAAGUCUUCGUCCAAGAAUUAGCUUUGCACCAUCUACAGACCUAAGCAGCUGCAGUCCUGGAACUGUGUGAUAACUUGCCCAGAAAAUCUUCUUGUGGAAUCUGUCUUUACAUGGAAAAGACUUGGCAAUAUUUGUACAGCAACUGGAAGAAAGGUCUUUGCUGAGAUAUACAAAGAGGCAGAAUGUGUGUGGAUCACCGAUUAGACAAGGCGAAUAGGAGCAGAAUAGAAGAGGAAUGGAAUAGAACUCAAGAUGAUAAAACAUACUGUGUCCAGAAUUUAUUCCUUCCAGUGGGCUGUUGGUCUCACUGACUUUAAGAAUGAAGCUGCGGACCCUCGUG